rnacentral:rRNA from 1 species
GAUGAACGCUGGCGGCGUGCUUAACACAUGCAAGUCGAACGAUGAAGCUGGAGCUUGCUCCGGUGGAUUAGUGGCGAACGGGUGAGUAACACGUGAGCAAUCUGCCCUUGACUCUGGGAUAACUGCGGGAAACUGUAGCUAAUACCGGAUACGACGCCUUGGGGCAUCCCACGGGCGUGGAAAGAAUUUCGGUCAAGGAUGAGCUCGCGGCCUAUCAGCUAGUUGGUGAGGUAAUGGCUCACCAAGGCGACGACGGGUAGCCGGCCUGAGAGGGUGACCGGCCACACUGGGACUGAGACACGGCCCAGACUCCUACGGGAGGCAGCAGUGGGGAAUAUUGCGCAAUGGGCGAAAGCCUGACGCAGCAACGCCGCGUGAGGGAUGAAGGCCUCGGUUGUAACUACUUUGUCUAGGGAAGAAACAGCAGCUCUAACACAGUCUGCGAAUGACGGUACC